rnacentral:rRNA from 1 species
UACGAAGGGGGCUAGCGUUGUUCGGAAUUACUGGGCGUAAAGCGCACGUAGGCGGACAUUUAAGUCAGGGGUGAAAUCCCAGAGCUCGACUCUGGAACUGCCUUUGAUACUGGGUGUCUUGAGUAUGGAAGAGGUGAGUGGAAUUCCGAGUGUAGAGGUGAAAUUCGUAGAUAUUCGGAGGAACACCAGUGGCGAAGGCGGCUCACUGGUCCAUUACUGACGCUGAGGUGCGAAAGCGUGGGGAGCGAACAGG